AGAGUUUGAUCAUGGCUCAGGAUAAACGCUGGCGGCGUGCCUAACACAUGCAAGUCGAACGUCCUUUCUUGCUUCGGCGAGAGAGGGAGUGGCGGACGGGUGAGGAACACAUGGGUGACCUAGCCCCUGGUGAGGGAUACCGGCGAGAAAUCGCCGACAAGCCCGCAUAGGGUCGCUCUGGUAGAGCGGAGCGAGCAAAGUCUGGUUCGAGAGAGGCAGACGCGAGGGGAUGGGCCUGUGGCCGAUUAGCUGGUUGGUGGGGUAAGAGCCUACCAAGGCGACGAUCGGUAGCUGGUCUGAGAGGACGGACAGCCACACUGGGAUUGAGAACGGCCCAGACUCCUACGGGGGGCAGCAGUGAGGAAUUUUCCGCAAUGGGCGCAAGCCUGACGGAGCAACGCCGCGUGCAGGAGGACGCUUUUCGGAGUGUAAACUGCUUUUCUGUGGGACGAGAGAGGACGGUACCACAGGAAGAAGCCCCGGCUAACUACGUGCCAGCAGCCGCGGUAAUACGUAGGGGGCGAGCGUUGUCCGGAGUUACUGGGCGUAAAGGGCAUGCAGGCGGUCGGGCGCGUUUAGUGUGACAGCGCAUGGCUCAACUAUGCGAGCAUACGAAAGACGGCCUGACUUGAGGACUCGAGAGGGACACGGAAUUCCGGGUGGAGUGGUGAAAUGCGUAGAGAUCCGGAGGAACACCGAAGGCGAAGGCAGUGUCCUGGCGAGUGACUGACGCUGAGGUGCGAAAGCCAGGGGAGCGAACGGGAUUAGAUACCCCGGUAGUCCUGGCCGUAAACGAUGACCACCAGGUGUGGGAGGUAUCGACCCCUUCUGUGCCGUAGGGAACCCAUUAAGUGGUCCGCCUGGGGAGUACGGUCGCAGAUUAAAACUCAAAGGAAUUGACGGGGACCCGCACAAGCAGCGGAGCGUGUGUUUAAUUCGAUGCGACGCGAAGAACCUACCAGG
rnacentral:rRNA from 1 species